rnacentral:rRNA from 1 species
CAGCCGCCGCGGGAAUACGAAGGGUGCAAGCGUUAAUCGGAACUACUGGGCGUAAAGCGUGCGCAGGCGGUGAUGUAAGACAGUUGUGAAAUCCCCGGGCUCAACCUGGGAACUGCAUCUGUGACUGCAUCGCUGGAGUGCGGCAGAGGGGGAUGGAAUUCCGCGUGUAGCAGUGAAAUGCGUAGAUAUGCGGAGGAACACCGAUGGCGAAGGCAAUCCCCUGGGCCUGCACUGACGCUCAUGCACGAAAGCGUGGGGAGCAAACAGGAUUAGAUACCCCGGUAGUCCCUGUCUCUUAUAC